rnacentral:rRNA from 1 species
AUUGAACGCUGGCGGCAGGCCUAACACAUGCAAGUCGAGCGGAUGAAGGGAGCUUGCUCCUGGAUUCAGCGGCGGACGGGUGAGUAAUGCCUAGGAAUCUGCCUGGUAGUGGGGGAUAACGUCCGGAGACGGGCGCUAAUACCGCAUACGUCCUGAGGGAGAAAGUGGGGGAUCUUCGGACCUCACGCUAUCAGAUGAGCCUAGGUCGGAUUAGCUAGUUGGUGGGGUAAAGGCCUACCAAGGCGACGAUCCGUAACUGGUCUGAGAGGAUGAUCAGUCACACUGGAACUGAGACACGGUCCAGACUCCUAAGGGAGGCAGCAGUGGGGAAUAUUGGACAAUGGGCGAAAGCCUGAUCCAGCCAUGCCGCGUGUGUGAAGAAGGUCUUCGGAUUGUAAAGCACUUUAAGUUGGGAGGAAGGGCAGUAAGUUAAUACCUUGCUGUUUUGACGUUACCAACAGAAUAAGCACCGGCUAACUUCGUG